rnacentral:rRNA from 1 species
GAUGAACGCUGGCGGCGUGCCUAAUACAUGCAAGUCGAGCGAAGCGGGGACGGGUGAGUAACACGUGGAUAACCUCCUAUACGACUGGGCUAACUUCGGGAAACCGGAGCUAAACCGGAUAAUUAUAAAUAGAUCCGCGCUGCAGUUGCUAGUUGGGAAGGUAACGGCUUACCAAGGAAACGAUGCAUAGCCGACCUGAGAGGGUGAGCGUCCACACUGGAACUGAGACACGGUCCAGCCUCCUACGGGAGGCAGCAGUAGGGAAUUGUCCGCAAUGGGCGAAAGCCUGACGGAGAAACGCCGCGUGAGUGAUGAAGGUCUUCGGAUCGUAAAACUCUGUUAUUAGUGAAGCGGUACCUAUUCAGAAAGCCACGGCUAACUACGUGCCAGCAGCCGCGGUAAUUC